UACGUAGGGUGCGAGCGUUGUCCGGAAUUAUUGGGCGUAAAGAGCCUGUAGGCGGUUUGUCGCGUCUGCUGUGAAAAUCCGGGGCUCAACCCCGGACUUGCAGUGGGUACGGGCAGACUAGAGUGUGGUAGGGGAGCGUGGAAUUCCUGGUGUAGCGGUGAAAUGCGCAGAUAUCAGGAGGAACACCAGCGGCGAAGGCAGCUCUCUGGGACGGUACUGACGCUGAGACGCGAAAGCGUGGGGAGCGAACAGG
rnacentral:rRNA from 1 species